GGCCCUAUCGUCUAUCGGUUAGGACACGAGCUUUUCAAGCUUGUAAGCGGGGUUCGACUCCCCGUAGGGUCA
rnacentral:tRNA from 1 species